AACGAACGCUGGCGGCAUGCCUAACACAUGCAAGUCGAACGAGACCUUCGGGUCUAGUGGCGCACGGGUGCGUAACGCGUGGGAACCUGCCCUUAGGUUCGGAAUAACUCCCCGAAAGGGGUGCUAAUACAGGAUAAUGUCCUCGGACCAAAGAUUUAUCGCCUUUGGAUGGGCCCGCGUUGGAUUAGCUAGUUGGUAGGGUAAAAGCCUACCAAGGCGACGAUCCAUAGCUGGUCUGAGAGGAUGAUCAGCCACACUGGGACUGGGACACGGCCCAGACUCCUACGGGAGGCAGCAGUGGGGAAUAUUGGACACUGGGCGAAAGCCUGAUCCAGCAAUGCCGCGUGAGUGAUGAAGGCCUUAGGGUUGUAAAGCUCUUUUACCCGGGAUGAUAAUGACAGUACCGGGAGAAUAAGCUCCGGCUAACUCCGU
rnacentral:rRNA from 1 species